rnacentral:rRNA from 1 species
GCGUUGAAAAGCUCGGGGAUGACUUGUGGGUAGCGGUGAAAUUCCAAUCGAGCCCGGAGAUAGCUGGUUCUCCCCGAAAUAGCUUUAGGGCUAGCCUCAAGGUGAGAGAUACGGAGGUAGAGCACUGAAUGUCCUAGGGGGUAUUGCACCUACCGAAGACUAUCAAACUCCGAAUGCCGUCAUCUUAUACUUGGGAGUCAGACUGUGGGUGAUAAGAUUCAUAGUCGAAAGGGCAACAGCCCAGAUCGUCAGCUAAGGUCCCUAAAUGUAAGUUAAGUGGUAAAGGAUGUGGGAUUGCACAGACAACCAGGAUGUUGGCUUAGAAGCAGCCACUCAUUCAAAGAGUGCGUAAUAGCUCACUGGUCGAGUGAUCCUGCGCCGAAGAUUUCCGGGGCUAAAACUUACUACCGAAGCUACGGCAUCAGUAAUGAUGGGUAGGGGAGCUUCCCAUACGGGUUGAAGCAUGACCGUAAGGACAUGUGGACAGUAUGGGAGUGAGAAUGUUGGCAUGAGUAGCGAGAUGUGGGUGAGAAUCCCACAGGCCGUAAACCCAAGGUUUCCAGGGGAAGGUUCGUCCGCCCUGGGUUAGUCGGGACCUAAGCUGAGGCCGAAAGGCGUAGGUGAUGGACAACAGGUUGAUAUUCCUGUACUACCGAUAACCGUUUGAGAGAAGGGAUGACACAGUAGGAUAAGCUAAGCACACUGUUGGUUAUGUGUGCCCAAGCAUUGAGGCAGUCAAAGUAGGCAAAUCCGCUUUGAUAAUGCUGGGAUGUGAUGGGGAGCGAAAUUUAGUAGCGAAGUAGCUGAUUUCACACUGUCAAGAAAAGUCUCUAUCGAGGUUAAAGGUACCCGUACCGCAAACCGACACAGGUGGGUGAGGAGAGUAUCCUAAGG